AAACGUCACAAGAUUAAUUGAACUUUAGCCAUAAAUUAAUUUGCCAUCUAUUUAGUGGAAUGUAUAAAAAUUAAAUUUGUUUAUAAUUUAAUACUAAAAGAAAAUAAUUUUAAAAAAUCGAAUUCAUUCAUAUCAUAUAUGUACUUUACAUGUUGGAUUAUAUCGUAUUUUCAGCAUACUAUAUUUACAUCAUAUUGUAUUUGCA
rnacentral:lncRNA from 1 species